GGGAUUGUGGCUCAAUGGUAGUGGAUUGGCUUGGCAUGCAGAAAAUCCCAGGUUCAAUCCCCAGCAUUUCCA
rnacentral:tRNA from 1 species